rnacentral:rRNA from 1 species
GUGCAGCGCCGCGGUAAUACCGGCAGCCCAAGUGAUGGCCGCUGUUAUUGGGCCUAAAGCGUCCGUAGCUGGCCGCACAAGUCCGUCGGGAAAUCCGCCCGCUCAACGGGCGGCCGUCCGGCGGAACCUGUGUGGCUUGGGACCGGGAGGCCUGAGGGGUACGAUCGGGGUAGGAGUGAAAUCCUGUAAUCCCGCUCGGACCGCCGAUGGGGAAAGCACUUCGAGAAAACGGAUCCGACAGUGAGGGACGAAAGCCAGGGUCUCCAACCGGAUUAGAAACCCGAGUAGUCC